GACGAACGCUGGCGGCGUGCUUAACACAUGCAAGUCGAACGGAAAGGCCCUGCUUUUGUGGGGUGCUCGAGUGGCGAACGGGUGAGUAACACGUGAGUAACCUGCCCUUGACUUUGGGAUAACUUCAGGAAACUGGGGCUAAUACCGGAUAGGAGCUCCUGCUGCAUGGUGGGGGUUGGAAAGUUUCGGCGGUUGGGGAUGGACUCGCGGCUUAUCAGCUUGUUGGUGGGGUAGUGGCUUACCAAGGCUUUGACGGGUAGCCGGCCUGAGAGGGUGACCGGCCACAUUGGGACUGAGAUACGGCCCAGACUCCUACGGGAGGCAGCAGUGGGGAAUAUUGCACAAUGGGCGGAAGCCUGAUGCAGCAACGUCGCGUGCGGGAUGACGGCCUUCGGGUUGUAAACCGCUUUCGCCUGUGACGAAGCGUGAGUGACGGUAAUGGGUAAAGAAGCACCGGCUAACUACGUGCCAGCAGCCGCGGUGAUACGUAGGGUGCGAGCGUUGUCCGGAUUUAUUGGGCGUAAAGGGCUCGUAGGUGGUUGAUCGCGUCGGAAGUGUAAUCUUGGGGCUUAACCCUGAGCGUGCUUUCGAUACGGGUUGACUUGAGGAAGGUAGGGGAGAAUGGAAUUCCUGGUGGAGCGGUGGAAUGCGCAGAUAUCAGGAGGAACACCAGUGGCGAAGGCGGUUCUCUGGGCCUUUCCUGACGCUGAGGAGCGAAAGCGUGGGGAGCGAACAGGCUUAGAUACCCUGGUAGUCCACGCUGUAAACGGUGGGUACUAGGUGUGGGGUCCAUUCCACGGGUUCCGUGCCGUAGCUAACGCUUUAAGUACCCCGCCUGGGGAGUACGGCCGCAAGGCUAAAACUCAAAGGAAUUGACGGGGCCCCGCACAAGCGGCGGAGCAUGCGGAUUAAUUCGAUGCAACGCGUAGAACCUUACCUGGGUUUGACAUGGAUCGGGAGUGCUCAGAGAUGGGUGUGCCUCUUUUGGGGUCGGUUCACAGGUGGUGCAUGGCUGUCGUCAGCUCGUGUCGUGAGAUGUUGGGUUAAGUCCCGCAACGAGCGCAACCCUUGUUCACUGUUGCCAGCACGUUAUGGUGGGGACUCAGUGGAGACCGCCGGGGUCAACUCGGAGGAAGGUGGGGAUGACGUCAAGUCAUCAUGCCCCUUAUGUCCAGGGCUUCACGCAUGCUACAAUGGCUGGUACAGAGAGUGGCGAGCCUGUGAGGGUGAGCGAAUCUCGGAAAGCCGGUCUCAGUUCGGAUUGGGGUCUGCAACUCGACCUCAUGAAGUCGGAGUCGCUAGUAAUCGCAGAUCAGCAACGCUGCGGUGAAUACGUUCCCGGG
rnacentral:rRNA from 1 species